rnacentral:rRNA from 1 species
CCUACGGGAGGCAGCAGUGGGGAAUAUUGGGCAAUGGGCGCAAGCCUGACCCAGCAACGCCGCGUGAAGGAAGAAGGCUUUCGGGUUGUAAACUUCUUUUCUCAGGGACGAAGCAAGUGACGGUACCUGAGGAAUAAGCCACGGCUAACUACGUGCCAGCAGCCGCGGUAAUACGUAGGUGGCAAGCGUUAUCCGGAUUUACUGGGUGUAAAGGGCGUGUAGGCGGGGACGCAAGUCAGAUGUGAAAACCACGGGCUCAACCUGUGGCCUGCAUUUGAAACUGCCUGACUGGAGUGCUGGAGAGGCAAGCGGAAUUCCUAGUGUAGCGGUGAAAUGCGUAGAUAUUAGGAAGAACACCAGUGGCGAAGGCGGCUUGCUGGACAGUAACUGACGUUGAGGCUCGAAAGCGUGGGGAGCAAACAGGAUUAGAUACCCUUGUAGUC